UAGGAAACAGAAGCCUGAGAAGCAGUGGCCAUUUUGGACUUUCAAUUCUGCCCGUAUCUGGGAAAGGGGGCUGGAAACCCUCUGGUAAAACCAAAAACUGAAAAUACUAGAAACUUUUGAAAAAUGCAGGACCUGGAUAUUAUGCGGAUGUAACUAAUGUCUCUAGUGCAAUGAGGGAGAGAGGUCUGAACAGAAAUACAAGCCUG